CCAACCACGUACACUACAAAAAAAUACACUUUCGUGAUGAUACAUGUUUGUCAUAGUAGGUCACAUUUUCUGUCAUGCAUGUACAUCCAUGAUCAAUUGUAAGUAUAGCAGGGUUUUUACGCCCCAAACUACGGAUGUCGUGUUCUCCUCAGGGACUAGGCAAAUUGAUGAUCGUGCUUGGCUAAAGCUAGGUAACACAAUUCAGAUUAUGAAAGCAAGAAAAUAAACCUACACUAAACAAGGAUGUUCCCAAUGAUCGUCGACAAAGAAAAUACAAAGAGCACCGGGAGACUCAGAUUUUACUCAUUGUCUUUUUGGUAUUUCCGUGAUGCUUGAGAAAUUAAAAUACUAAUACGAGCAUACAUCAAUGACAAGAGAAGUGAAAGGACAUGAACAUAACAUGACAAGGACACAAAUAUAACUAUCGAACACGAACAGAGGGAAGAAACAAGGUUGUAGGACAUAACAUAAAUGUAUCACAUCACAGACAGACACAUAUGUAUGUAUAUAUAACAGGAACAAUAAACUGGACACUAAUCAUCAGCAAGUAGAGAAUAUAUAUGACAUAUAUAGCUAGAUCUCAUACAUUCGAAAUGAGGGACACAAUGUAACAGUACAAACUCUCACUGGUCAACAAAAUAAGUAAGAAACACACAUGUCUUCGGACUGAACAAAUAUCAUCAUCACACAACAAUAUUUUUGAUGAAUUACACUCACACAAACACACAUAUUUAUAUAACACUUGUACUAGAGUAAACACAUGGACUAUAAACUGGAACAAAUUAGAUGAACACACACAUACACAAAUACAAAUAUGAUACUAUAGGACACUGUUCUAAUACUCUCAAAUGAACAAAAUAAGUACUACUAAUCAAGCACAAAUCUGAAAUUGACCAAGUUUCAAGCACAACUCAAAUCUGAACAUUACAAGGCAUUACACAUCUCAGCUUAUAAAAAUUCAGAGAAUAUAGAGAGGAUAAAAGAGAGAUAGAAGCAGUUUAUGGUUCAGAUUAGGAGCAGCAGCAUGAGGGGUUCAGAGGAGGAGCAGCAUGAGCGCAAGAAGAUCAGCAGCAGAGGUACAGAAAGAAGGAGCAGCAGCGAGGAAAGUGGGAGAGGGAGCAGCAGCAGUUUUAAGAGGAGGAGGAGCAGCAGCGAGAUUCAGAGAAGAAGAAGGGGGGUAGAGGAAGUGGAGUAGCAGCAGCAGGGACGAGGGGGUGGAGCAGUUUGGGGAUUUGGAGAAGGAAGAGCAGCAGGGACGUGAGGAGUAGGGAGGAGCAGCAGGGACGUGAGGAGUAGGGAGGAGCAGCAGGGGAAGAAGAGAUCGUGCGAGCGGUGGCGCGGCAGCGAAGAUGGAGAUGGCGCGAUGCUGGUGGUGGUGUGAGGUGCGUCUCGUGGGAAGUGGUGCUGGUGGUGCGUGGUGGAGAUGGUCGUGGCUGGCGGCGAUGGUGGUGAUGGUGUGAUGGUGAGGGGCGCACCACCACGCCAGCCUGGCUGUGGCGGCGGCCGGAGGUGGAGAAGGAGGGGUGAGGGAGAGAGAUGAGUAGCCAGGCCCGAUGGGGAAUGGAGCCGAUCUAGGGAUUUUGAUCCCCUCCCUGAUCUGCAAACUUUACACAUUAGCCCUCCUCCUUCUCUUCUUUCUUCACAAGAAGGUCCUCUCACUUCUUUAGCAAGCCCCCUGGUUACUUCUUUUCAUCUCACUCAAGUAUCUUCUUCCUUCUCUUCUUUUCUUCACUCUUCUUGAUAACCACCUAGACAGAAUCUUGACGAUUAUUGGUGCCUUUGCGCACAUUUCUGCAAGAUAGACCAAAGACUAGUAAAUGAUCUUUUUUUAUGAUUAUCAAGCAAUAUUCAAUCAAUCAUGGCAAGAAUGGACAGAUAUAUCACGAUAGAUGCUACAUUUGAGUACCAAAAUUAUAUAUGUGAAAUAUACUUAUCAAGUUCCCCCACACUUAAAUCUCUACUUGUCCUCAAGUAAAGGCAUAUGACAAGAGCAAGAUAGUGAAUAGUGAGCUGACUAGAGAAUACUAAGUGAAGUAGAUGUCUAAACAGUGCAUGCUUUGGACUUAGCUAGUGAAAAUUAAUGGUUAGGAGUGCUUCAAAGCGGUAAGAUACUAGUAAGCUUGACCAUUUUAAACUUUUACAAUGAUAAAAGAUCAACUGAGUAUAGCGGGGUUUUUACGCCCAAACUGCGAGUGUCAUGUUCUGGACUAGGCGACGGCGACUAUGCUCAGCCAAAUCUAGGUCACACGAUAUUGAGUGAUGAAAAUAGAAAAUAAUACUAACACCAACAAGGAUCAUCAACAAAGGGAAUGACACAGAGGCAAAGGGAGAUGAAGAUUAUCUUCUAUUUCUCUUUUUGGUAUUUUCAUAUCAUUUUAGAAACUAAAUAAGGACACAGGACAUCAGCAUCGACAGAAAGGAAGUAACAAGAGAUGAUCACAAAUAUAUCUAGCAGACAUAUAUAAGAAAAGGAAGAUGCAUUUAUAUCAGAGUCCUUUAUAACACAAGUACUGGAGCUAAAACAUAUACUACACAAAACUGAACAAGUUUAUUCAAAAUAAGAGCAUUACACGAGUGACAACACAUUAAUGAACGAGAUUAUACAAACCACAAGACUAGUACCCACUGAUCAACACAACAGUAAUUAACAACUAAAAGUUACUAGUAGAAAUUAACUAGUACAGGGAGAACAAACACACAGGGGUGAAUACAUUCAUAUGCUAGCAGAAUAUUAAUACACCGAAGCAAUUUCUAAUAGAUCAAUAAUCUCCCAAAUUAACAAUAUAUUUUACCAGUACCAAACUGAAAAAAUAACAAGUUGCUUGCACUAGUCAAAUCUGAAUAUUACACAACCCAAAACGUUACACAGUUCUGAACAUUACACUUCUAAAGUUUGCAAUAAGUUGAGAUCACACACACACACACACACACACACACACACAGAGAGAGAGAGAGAGAGAGAGAGAGAGAGCAACAAGAUUCAGAUUCAGAGAAGUGCAGCAGCAAGAUUCGUGGGUUCAGAGAAGAAGGGUAGCAGGGGAAGUAGAGAGAUAGCAGCAGGGGGUUGGGAGCAGCAGCAGGUUUAGAGAUGGAGGAGCAGCAGGAAGGCGAUGGGGAAGAAGAGAAGAUGCAACAACAGGGACGUGAGGAGAGGGAGCAGCAGCAGUUUUGGGAAGAAGAAGGAGCAGCAGCAGCGUGGAGGGUUCAGCGGGGCAAAGAUGUGGGAGAGAGAGAGAUCGCAGCAGGUGAAGAAAGAGGAAAAGAGGGAGUAGUAGCAGGAGGACGUCGAGGGGAAGAAGAAGCAGGGCGAGGCAGGGUUGCGCGGGCUGGAGGGAGGCGCUGGAUGUGGUGGUGCUGUGGCGGCGGCACGGUGGUGUUGGAGGUGGUGAUGUGGUGGCUGGUAGAGAGGGCGCGGUGGAUGGCUAGAAGGCGCACCGCCACGCCGGCCUGGCCACGGCGGUGGCCGGUGGUGGAGAAGGUGGGGUGAGGGGAAUGGAGAUGCCAGGCCUGAUUUGGGAAUCAGGGCGUCUAGGGAUUUUGACCUCCUGUGAUCUGCCAUUUUUUCACUUUGGCCCUCCUGCUUCCUUUCUUCUCAAGAUGAUCCUCCAACAUUAGCUUGCCCCUAGAUACUUCUUUUCUUCUCGCUCAGGUCCCUCCUUCUCUCGUUCCAGCCCCAAGUCCCAUCGCGUUUGGCAAUCGACUGAAUCUUGAAGUUUAUAGUGCCUUCUCGCACUUUUCUGCAAAAGAAACAAUUCACUAGUCAACAUGCUCUUAUAUGAUUAUCAUUCAAAUAUUCAGUAUUUCAUAGCAAAAAUUAAUGUCAGAACUCAACAAAUGGUAUAUUUGUAUGCCAAAAUUAUAUAUGUGAAAUGUGCUUAUCAAGUUCCCCCACACUUAAACUUUUGCUUGUCCUCAAGCAAAGGCAUAUGACAAGAGCAAGAAUGUGAACAGUGAGCUGACUAGAGAAUACCAAGUGAAGUAGAUCUCUAAACAGCGCAUGCUUUGGACUUAGCUAGUGAAAAUUAAUGGUUAGGAGUGCUUCAAAGCGGUAGGAUACUAGUAAGCAUGACCAUUUUAAACUUUUACAAUGAUAAAAGAGGAUCAACAAGUUUAAAUGAUGACUGCGCCAAAUGGUUCCUAAAGAGAGCAUGAUUCCGAGAACAAAAAGAACUGGAAUUAAAUCUCUUAUUUGCAGAAAUAUGACUUUGUGGUUGAACCACUUAUUGAAUAUGAAAGAAACACACAUAUUAUUUUAUUAGUCUCACCGAAGGAACAUGCCACCGAUCCCGAGAACAUGGUAUACACCUGGCUCCACCAAUUUUUUAUUAAUUUUUUUGUUUGUCUCCCCAAAGGAACAUACCACUGAUCCCGAGAACAUGGUAUACACCUGGUUCGACAAUUACAUUAUUAUUAUUAUUAAUUACUGCCCAAGCUAACCCGAUUUCACAUGUCACCGAUCCCGGGAACAUGACAUGCUACUGUAGGUAGCCAGACUAAUUUAUUCAUUAUUACUUAUCUUAAAUGAACAACGCAUAAGCACAAAAAUAGGAAUCAUCACUUCUCCAUGUUUGGUUCACAUGCUACCGAUCCAGGGAACAUAGCAUGCUAAUCCAUAGUGGUUAGGUGAUUGCUCUCAAUGGGAAGACACUUGGCACAACUUCAACAUCUAAACGUGGUGAUCUAGGUGUAUCGAGGUAAAAGCAGAAAAUGAUUAAGUUUUCUAGUGUACUAGGGAUUUGAGCACUCAAAACUAAUAACUUUCACUAAUUUCAGCAAAGCAAGCAAUAUGUAGAUCACUAGUUUACAUGGCAUUCAACAAUCAGUUCGCAUAUUCUCAUCAAGCACCAUAUGUCAAAUAAAAUUCAGUGGGGCAACAUUUAAGACAUGGCUUAAGCAACCCAAAUAACAUUUGAUUUCAGCAUGUAUCAAUGGAUGAUAUACUCGGAAUGGGUCAUGAAACAGCUCACCGGGCUUUGAUGAUGUAGCACUCGCUCGAUCACCUCACCAACUGCAGCUCCUCUCCUUUUGAUUCUUUAUCCUCAUGCCUGCUCCAGCUUCUCCCUUCCUCGUGUGUGCCCCCUUGCUUCUCCUCAUCCCCAUGCUCUGAGUCCACCAGGGUCCCAAGGAAUGUCACCUCGAACUUGGUCAGCAUGUAAUGGAUCAUGCACAAGCAAAAACCUGAAAGCACUCUCAACAAAAGAGACAAUGCAAGUGGUAGGGAUAAUACCCUCCAAGUCAUCAAUCGAAUAUCCAAUUACAUAAGCAUAGCUAUAAAGCACAUGUUUAGGAUGGUAGAAAUCAGCAAGGUCGACACUAACAUGAGGAUGAAAUUUAUCAGUAAGCUCAAGACUAGCAUGGGAAUAAUAUGUUUCAUUAAGCAUAGGACUAGCAUAAGGAAAAUAAGUGUCAUCAUCAGGAAUAAGAGCAAUGCCACCAACAAUGUAUGUAUGAUCAUGUCCAAACAAAUAAUUUUUCAAGUCUAGCUUAAUUGAUGGUAUAGCACAAUGGAACGUAGCAGCAAAGAUCUCAUAAGGAAGCAUGUCAUCAAGAGGAUUGGAUAAACCUGCUAAAUCACGCUCCUGUAUGACGAUGGGCAAAUGCGUUUCUGGUUCUUCAUCUUCAAUCACAUCAACUUCUUUUGCUUCUUCAAGAGUAAUAGAUGAUGAGUCUUCAACUUGAUCACUUUGUUGUUCGAGCUCUGGAUCAUCUUGUGCCUUGGCUUCGAGAAUUUCUUCUUGGAUCUGAAGUAUCUCUUCCUCUGGACUCUCGCUAUCUUGCUCAGCUGAAUGUGAAGGUGUUGGAACCUCACACACCUCAAGGAAUAUCCCGGCAACACUCAGCUCAAGGAGGGAAGAGAUAGUACUGACAGUGUUAUUGUUCUUCUCAAUCUUCCUUACUUCUUCCACUAGCUCCUUUCUACUCUUAAUCUUCUUCAUUUCCUCUAGUAUCACCGGCCUAAUUGGAUCAUCUUCGGCACUCCAAGUGAACUCGAGACCAAGCAAUGUGAGCUUGUCUAUAUCAUCAAAGUCAUCUUGUGUGGGCACUUGUGUUGAAGAUGUUGGUUGACCAAAUGGAGGACCAUUUAACUCCAUUGGCAACAUGUCCUGGUGUUGAGGUAUAUGAGUAGGAGCUGAAUAAAUCUGUUGUGGAGCAUAGUUGUGGCUCUCCUCUUCAUACCUAAAUCCCUGCAUUGGAUAACUAGAGGCAAAUGAUGAGAUCUCAGGGUUAUUGCUCCUAUAUGACAUAUUCUGGUUUUCAGGCCACCCAUGUGUGUAAUUGUUUUGGUAUGAGCUAGGCUAUGGGGCGAAGCUCAUGCCAUAACAAUCGGGGAGGGUGAGAGUAACCACGCUGACAUUCAGCGGGUGAAUGGCCCUGAAAUCCACAAAUAUGGCAUGUAGGAGCAACAUAAGGAUGACCUCUAGAAUAAGGAUCAUAAGAGCUAGGCCUAUCCUCAAAAACUACCUCUCGCUGCCGAGCUAAAUCAUCUAAUCCAUGGGAAAUCUCACUUAUUAGUUCUUGAAUACUUUUCGGGCUGUUUGUAGUGUUGCUCGCAUAAGCCUGAUGAUCUGAAUAGUAAGCCAUAACCGAGAACAUAGUUCUAACCUGCAAAAAGGAAAAGAAAACAAAGAGAAAAUAAACUAGAACAAGGGUUAGGAGUUAGAGAUAUAUCACAAAUAUAUAAAACACAAAAAGGAAACAAGCUAAACCUAGUCUAAAGCCUCACACAAACGCUCGACGCUAGUCCCUGGCAACGGCGCCAAAAUGAUCAAUUGUAAGUAUAGCAGGGUUUUUACGCCCCAAACUACGGAUGUCGUGUUCUCCUCAGGGACUAGGCAAAUCGAUGAUCGUGCUUGGCUAAAGCUAGGUAACACAAUUCAGAUUACGAAAGCAAGAAUAUAAACCUACACUAAACAAGGUUGUUCCCAAUGAUCGUCGACAAAGAAAAUACAAAGAGCACCGGGAGACUCAGAUUUUACUCAUUGUCUUUUUGGUAUUUCCGUAAUGCUUGAGAUAUUAAAAUACUAAUACGAGCAUACAUCAAUGACAAGACAAGUGAAAGGACAUGAACGUAACAUGACAAGGACACAAAUAUAACUAUCGAACAUGAAUAGAGGGAAGAAACAAGGUUGUAGGACAGAACAUAAAUGUAUCACAUCACAGACACACACAUAUGUAUAUGUAUAACAGGAACAAUAAAUUGGACACUAAUCAUCAGCAAGUAGAGAAUAUAUAUGACAUAUAUAGCUAGAUCUCAUACAUUCGAAAUGAGGGACACAAUGUAACAGUACAAACUCUCACUGGUCAACAAAAUAAGUAAGAAACACACAUGUCUUCGGACUGAACAAAUAUCAUCAUCACACAACAAUAUUUUUGAUGAAUUACACUCACACACACACAUAUUUAUAUAACACUCGUACUAGAGUAAACACAUGGACUAUAAACUGGAACAAAUUAGAUGAACACACACAUACACAAAUACGAAUAUGAUACUACAGGACACUGUUAUAAUACUCUCAGAUGAACAAAAUUAGUACUACUAAUCAAGCACAAAUCUGAAACUGACCAAGUUUCAAGCACAACUCAAAUCUGAACAUUACAAGGCAUUACACAUCUCAGCUUAUAGAAAUUCAGAGAAUAUAGGGAGGAUAAAAGAGAGAUAGUAGCAGUUUAUGGUUCAGAUUAGGAGCAGCAACAUGAGGGGUUCAGAGGAGCAGCAACAUGAGCACAAGAAGAUCAGCAGCAGAGGUACAGAAAGAAGCCUCAGCAGCGAGAAAAGUGGGAGAGGGAGCAGCAGCAGUUUUAAGAGGAGGAGGAGCAGCAGCGAGAUUCAGAGAAGAAGAAGGGGAGCAGAGGAAGUGGAGUAGCAGCAGUAGGGACGAGGGGGAGCAGCAGUUUGGGGAUUUGGAGAAGGAAGAGCAGUAGGGACGUGAGGAGAAGGGAGGAGCAGCAGGGGAAGAAGAGAUCGUGCGAGCGGUGGAGCGGCGGCGAAGAUGGAGAUGGCGCGGUGUCGGUGGUGGUGUGAGGUGCGUCUCGUGGGAAGUGGUGCUGGUGGUGCGUGGUGGAGAUGGUCGUGGGUGGCGGCGAUGGUGGUGAUGGUGUGAUGGUGAGGGGCGCACCACCAUGCCGGCCUGGCUGUGGCGGCGGCCGGAGGUGGAGAAGGAGGGGUGAGGGAGAGAGAUGAGUAGCGAGGCCCGAUGGGGAAUGGAGCCGAUCUAGGGAUUUUGAUCCCUUCCCUGAUCUGCAAACUUUACACAUUAGCCCUCCUCCUUCUCUUCUUUCUUCACAAGAAGGUCCUCUCACUUCUUUAGCAAGCCCCCUGGUUACUUCUUUU
rnacentral:lncRNA from 1 species